UCUUGCCAUCAAUAUCCUGGUUUACUGUCUGCAUAUGCAGAUUUCCCAGGGUCACAAGGUUGGGACCGAAUGAGAACAGGGAGGAUCAACACUGGAAACGUCAUUAGGUACUGAGGAACCUCGGCCAAGAGUCAGGAAUUGAUCUUAGCUGAUGUCAACAUGAGUUCCUGCUGUCGAGGUCAAAGAAAAGUUAGAUUCAAACAGGUCCUUUAACCUAAUGAAAAAGUUCCACAGCAUUGCCUUUUCCAUGAAAUGGAGAGGUCAGUCAUCUUACUAAAGAACUUAAAAAGAAGAUGGGAAAAUUAAGGCAUGGUGAGAUGUAGUGUCACAUACGAGGUCACCAACAGAGCUCAGAAGAAAACCCCAGGAGUGGUGACAUUUCGUCCUAUGUGCUAACUGCUGGCUCACACUCUGUCUGUCAUGCUGAAGAUUCUACUCUGCUGGGAAGAUCUCAGAAGUCAUUCUAGAAAUACAUUAACAUCGACAAGGAAAAAAGAUUUCUAGUCAUUGAAAUCCAGUAGCUAGACAAAAGUCAGGACAGCUGGUGACGGCCCAGGAUAUGGUGCAUGACCUGGCAUCUUCAAUGUCUGACCAACCUGUAAGUACUCCAUAGUGACUGUUUUAGUUGCCUUCAUGGCCAUUGGAACAAAUUGUUCUCAGUCACCCAUUCUACUGGGGCAAG